rnacentral:lncRNA from 1 species
AGAACACGCCAUUAACAAGGCCAGAACCCCGACUGCCAUUCCUGGACGGGAGCCACCAACACCCGCAAAAUCGAUCGAUUCAGCCUGGGACGCUUGCUGUUUCCGAACCUCUGUUGCCACCUAUCCCAGUUUGGAGGGAAUUUUCCCAAGGAUGGCUUCAUGACCACACUGCUGUAGGAAGCCAUAAGUUGGAAAUCAACGGGCCUGGCUUGAAGUGUGGCCUUAGGCAACACCGUUCUCAUCUACAUCUGGAUUCUCCAACAAAGCUGCCUCAGAGGAAGGAGCGUGUGCAGGAGUCCAGGAGGAGGGGAGGAACCAGAGACGGGGAAUGGCCUGGAUGGAUGAGUCGAGACAUGGGGAAAGCUGCUUCCUGAAUUAUGUGUUCUGUGUACUCCUCUUCAUCAGAGCAGUGAUAGAAAAACUGAGGUUCGGAGAGCUAAAACAGGCCUGCCCAGGGGCCUUACCAGACUUCCAGGAUGGUGUCAUUCCUUUCAAGGGCCUGCAGGAGGGCUUCUGCCCCUAGUAAAUAAGUUUCAUGAUAUCUGAUGGUUUUAAAAAGGGGAGUUUCCCUGAACAAGCCCUCUUCUCCUGUCUGCUGCCAUGUGAGAUGUGCCUUUCACCUUCAGCCAUGAUUGUGAGACCUCCCCAGCCACGUGGAACUACUAUGAAAAUGAUGUUAGACAAAAAGCAAAUUCAAGCAAUUUUCUUAUUUGAAUUCAAAAUGGGUUGUAAAGCAGCGGAGACAACUCACAACAUCAGCAAUGCAUUUGGCCCAGGAACUGCUAACUAACGUAUAGUGCAGUGGUGGUUCAAGAAGUUUUGCGAAGGAGAUAAGAGCCUUGAAGAUGAGGAGUGUACUGGCAGGCCAUCAGAAGCUGACAAUGACCAAUUGAGAGCAAUCAUCAAAGCUGAUUUUCUUACAACUACUUGAGAACUCAACAUCGACCAUUCCAUGGUCAUUCAGCAUUUGAAGCAAAUUGGAAAGGUGAAAAACCUCGAUAAGUGUGUGCCUCAUGAGCUGAGUGAAAACCAAGAAAAUCGUCAUUUUGAAGUGUCAUCUUCUCUUAUUCUACACAACAACAGCGAACCAUUUCUUGAUCUGAUUGUGACGUGCGAUGAAAAGUGGAUUUUAUACAACUGGCAAUGACUAGCUCAGUGGUUGGACCGAGAAGAAGCUCCAAAGCACUUCCCAAAGGCAAAUUCGCACCAAAAAAAAAAGGUCAUGGUCACUGGUGGUCUGCUGCUAGUCUGAUCCCCUACAGCUUUCUGAAUCCCUGCGAAACCAUUACAUAUGAGAAGUAUGCUCGGCAAGUCAAUGAGAUGCACUGAAAACUGCAACACCUGCAGCCGGCAUUCGUCAACAGAAAGGGUCCAAUUCUCCACGACAACACCCGACUGCAUGUCACACAACCAAAGCUUCAAAAGUUGAAUGAAUUGGACUAUGAAGUUUUGCCUCAUCCGCCAUAUUUACCUGACCUCUAGCCAACUGACUACCAUUUCUUCAAGAAUCUUGACAACUUUCUGCAGGAAAAAUGCUUCCACAACCAGGAGGAUGCAGAAAAUGCUUUCCAAGAGUUUGUUGAAUCCCGAAGCAUGAAUUUUUAUGCUACAGGAAUAAACAAACUUAUUUCUUAUUGGCAAAAAUGUGUUGAUUUUAAUGGUUCCUAUUUUGAUUAAUAAAGAUGUAUUUUAGCCUA